GAAUGUAAGAAGAACUAGUCUUAGGAUUAUAAAUAUGUGAGUUAUAAUUCAAGGUAGUAUUGAUUUUACCAAGAAGAAUGAAAGAUUAUGAGUGAUAAUCAUGAAGUGGAGGAUUAUCAAAAAAUUAAUAGAGAAGGGAAAGAAAGCCAGGAGUAAUUAUGCAUAAGAAAUCUCCUAUAAGAACGACAAAAAGGAAUUGUAGGUCCAAGUAAAACCAAAAGAAGAAAAAUUCAAAUUCAAAUAGCAAGAAGACCAAUAAUAACACCAAUGGCCGCAGGAGUGCCAGAAGUACCAAUUACAGUACAAAUGGGAGUAGUAUGAGACCGAACUACAAGUGUGGCACCAUUAUUUACUUUUAG
rnacentral:lncRNA from 1 species